rfam:Anopheles arabiensis strain DONG5_A unplaced genomic scaffold supercont1.194, whole genome shotgun sequence.
UGCAUCUUUGAACUCCUAUCCCAACCUCCACGUGGUGCUAGCUGGAUUAUAUUUAUUGCAGAAUUUGUUACAUUAAUUCUGCAAUUUUUAUAAACUAAUAGGGAAUAGG